GUUCAUAUUUCUUAUUGUCUUCUUAACGUUUUCUAUUAUUUAAUAUAUUGUUUGUUGGAUUCUAAGGGAGCUUUGAGAACCUAGGCCCCAAUACAUACAUGCAGAGGAAGAUUAAAUUAUCAUAUAUAAAGCUCAGGUGUAGUUUUAGAAGUGGAAGAGAGUAGCUUUGGGCCUUAUCACCAGAUUGGAAACAGAGGAAUUGUAGCUGUUGGAGAGAAUUGCAAGUCCCUGACAGAUCUUAG